UUUAUUCUAUUAAAAGAUUUUCUGGUCUGAUUUGAUGUUUUUAAUCCUCAGCUUAGGGCUUGUCAUAAACUUACUGGAAAGCUGAAGAGGGAAAUUAUUCUAGGUUCAUCAAGUCUUGAUGAUCCUGCCCAAUUUAUUACGAAACUGAAGAUGAUGACCACACAUGAACUCUCACUGGAUGAUAUCCAGAUAUGAUGUCAUAUAUGAUGUUAUGGACUCGGAAACGAGCUUCAGAUAUGAUGUCUCUGUUGUAAAUUGUAAUAUAAUGUAAUCUUCUUGAUAUUGGAUAUUCUUUGGCAUUCGGCUUCUUGUGUUUCAGCCGAGUAACUGAAUGCAGACAGUAAAAAUAUACUCAGGAAAAUCUUAAUUGUUUACUAACCAAAAUAGUUGAAAUAAAUAAAUGAUUUAUGAACCGGAUCGUUCUGGUUUGAAACUA